rnacentral:rRNA from 1 species
AAUCAACGCUGGCGGCGUGCCUAACACAUGCAAGUCGAACGAGAAAGUGGAGCAAUCCAUGAGUACAGUGGCGCACGGGUGAGUAACACGUGACUAACCUGCCUUCGAGUGGGGAAUAACCUCGGGAAACCGGGGCUAAUACCGCAUAACAUCAUCGGGUGAAAUUCCUGCUGAUCAAAAGUUUUUUGCUUGAAGAGGGGGUCGCGGCUGAUUAGCUAGUUGGUGGGGUAACGGCCCACCAAGGCAGUGAUCAGUAGCCGGCCUGAGAGGGCGCACGGCCACACUGGAACUGAAACACGGUCCAGACUCCUACGGGAGGCAGCAGUGGGGAAUUUUGCGCAAUGGGGGAAACCCUGACGCAGCAACGCCGCGUGGAGGAUGAAGUCCCUUGGGACGUAAACUCCUUUCGAUCGGGAAGAAUAAUGACGGUACCGGAAGAAGAAGCCCUGGCUAACUUCGUGCCAGCCGCCGCGGUAA